UACGAAGGUGGCAAGCGUUGUUCGGAUUUACUGGGCGUAAAGGGCGCGUAGGUGGUUAUUUAAGUUUGAUGUGAAAUCCCUGGGCUUAACCUAGGAACUGCAUUGAAAACUGGAUAACUGGAGUACUGUAGAGGGUAGUGGAAUUUCCGGUGUAGCGGUGAAAUGCGUAGAGAUCGGAAGGAACACCAGUGGCGAAGGCGGCUACCUGGACAGAUACUGACACUGAGGCGCGAGAGCGUGGGGAGCAAACAGG
rnacentral:rRNA from 1 species